UCUGGUGGCAAUAGCAAAGAGGUCACACCCGUUCCCAUGCCGAACACGGUCGUUAAGCUCUUUUGCGCCGAUGGUAGUUGGGGG
rnacentral:rRNA from 1 species